rnacentral:rRNA from 1 species
UGCUUGGGGAACUGCCCAGUCGAGGGGACAACUAUUGGAAACGAUAGCUAAUACCGCAUACGCCCUACGGGGAAAGGGAGGGGAGUUCUUCGGAACCUUUCGCGAUUGGAUGUACCCAAGUGGGAUUAGCUAGUUGGUGAGGUAAUGGCUCACCAAGGCAACGAUCCCUAGCUGGUUUGAGAGGAUGAUCAGCCACACUGGAACUGAGACACGGUCCAGACUCCUACGGGAGGCAGCAGUGGGGAAUAUUGCACAAUGGAGGAAACUCUGAUGCAGCCAUGCCGCGUGUAUGAAGAACGG